UCCUCUCUCAAACCCCGUGUUUGGUGUUGGACCGCGUUGGACCGCCUCCAUGGCCAACUGGUCUCAAAGACAAUGACGGCGUCCCAGGGACCCUCUUCGCACUGAGCUUUCCGGAGCACGCGUAGAGUUUCAAGGGCCCAGGGACCCGGUCGCCUCUAAAAACUUUUUUCA
rnacentral:misc_RNA from 1 species